rnacentral:rRNA from 1 species
GAUGAACGCUGGCGGCGUGCCUAAUACAUGCAAGUCGAGCGAACGGACGAGAAGCUUGCUUUUCUGAUGUUAGCGGCGGACGGGUGAGUAACACGUGGAUAACCUACCUAUAAGACUGGGAUAACUUCGGGAAACCGGAGCUAAUACCGGAUAAUAUUUUGAACCGCAUGGUUCAAAAGUGAAAGACGGUCUUGCUGUCACUUAUAGAUGGAUCCGCGCUGCAUUAGCUAGUUGGUAAGGUAACGGCUUACCAAGGCAACGAUGCAUAGCCGACCUGAGAGGGUGAUCGGCCACACUGGAACUGAGACACGGUCCAGACUCUACGGGAGGCAGCAGUAGGGAAUCUUCCGCAAUGGGCGAAAGCCUGACGGAGCAACGCCGCGUGAGUGAUGAAGGUCUUCGGAUCGUAAAACCCUGUUAUUAGGGAAGAACAUAUGUGUAAGUAACUGUGCACAUCUUGACGGUACCUAAUCAGAAAGCCACGGCUAACUACGUG